ensembl:lncRNA LINC01687 long intergenic non-protein coding RNA 1687
AGGAGAUUAACAUUUGAGUCACUGGGUUGGGGAAGAAAGAUCCACCCUUAAUCUCAUGGGCAUAACCUAAUCAGCUGCCAGCGAAUAUAAAGCAGGCAGAAAAACUUGAAAAGGAGAGACUGGCCUAGCCUCCCAGCCUACAUCUUUCUCCCGUGCUAGAUGCUUCCUGCUCUCAAACAUCAGACUCCAAGUUCUUCAGUUUUGGGACUCGGGCUGGCUCUGCCUCCUCCUCAGCUUGCAGACAGCCUAUUGUGGGACCUAGUGAUUGUAUCUAACGGUGGGAACCUAAGUCACACAACUACAAAAUUUAAAUACAAUGGGAAUAAUUGGAUGCUGAGGUGGUAGGCACCAAGUGACAGCACUCAACUAUCAACCUCAAGGUCAUCCUACAUUGGCCAAAGGAAUAAAGAAGAAUGACAGGGUUAAUGAUGGAUAUUUGAAUUAUUCUGAUUUUUCUGACGUGCAAGGUGUAGAUUCCUUUUGUUAGUCAUUCAAACCAACAGCAGCUUUAAGUAUGUAAUUUGUGAUAUCUAAUUAAUCAGUCAUUCAUAUCCAAGGUUAUAAAAACUCAUACUGUACAAUAGAGACUUGUAUCAUGUAUAAAAUAAGAAUGUAAUGUUCUUUUAGCACCACCCAAUUGGUGGGUCUGGAAAUAAUGACUUCUCUGACGAGUCCAAAUUAAAUUGGAACAAAGGUAAAAGUUCUCUCCAGGAGGCCAGACAAUGAAGAACAGGCAGUUUCUUACACAUCUCUACUUUAAUUAUAGCAAAUGGCCCAUCUGCUUCAAAACCAGAA